ACUUCCGUUAAUUGAUUAUGACGUACUUGUACUGAUUGAGAUUUUAACACGAAGUGAGUGGCGAACGGGUGAGUAACACGUGGGUAACCUGCCCAGAAGUAGGGGAUAACACCUGGAAACAGAUGCUAAUACCGUAUAACAGAGAAAACCGCAUGGUUUUCUUUUAAAAGAUGGCUCUGCUAUCACUUCUGGAUGGACCCGCGGCGUAUUAGCUAGUUGGUGAGGUAAAGGCUCACCAAGGCAGUGAUACGUAGCCGACCUGAGAGGGUAAUCGGCCACAUUGGGACUGAGACACGGCCCAGACUCCUACGGGAGGCAGCAGUAGGGAAUCUUCCACAAUGGACGCAAGUCUGAUGGAGCAACGCCGCGUGAGUGAAGAAGGGUUUCGGCUCGUAAAGCUCUGUUGUUAAAGAAGAACGUGGGUAAGAGUAACUGUUUACCCAGUGACGGUAUUUAACCAGAAAGCCACGGCUAACUACGUGCCAGCAGCCGCGGUAAUACGUAGGUGGCAAGCGUUAUCCGGAUUUAUUGGGCGUAAAGCGAGCGCAGGCGGUCUUUUAAGUCUAAUGUGAAAGCCUUCGGCUCAACCGAAGAAGUGCAUUGGAAACUGGGAGACUUGAGUGCAGAAGAGGACAGUGGAACUCCAUGUGUAGCGGUGAAAUGCGUAGAUAUAUGGAAGAACACCAGUGGCGAAGGCGGCUGUCUGGUCUGCAACUGACGCUGAGGCUCGAAAGCAUGGGUAGCGAACAGGAUUAGAUACCCUGGUAGUCCAUGCCGUAAACGAUGAUUACUAAGUGUUGGAGGGUUUCCGCCCUUCAGUGCUGCAGCUAACGCAUUAAGUAAUCCGCCUGGGGAGUACGACCGCAAGGUUGAAACUCAAAAGAAUUGACGGGGGCCCGCACAAGCGGUGGAGCAUGUGGUUUAAUUCGAAGCUACGCGAAGAACCUUACCAGGUCUUGACAUCUUCUGACAGUCUAAGAGAUUAGAGGUUCCCUUCGGGGACAGAAUGACAGGUGGUGCAUGGUUGUCGUCAGCUCGUGUCGUGAGAUGUUGGGUUAAGUCCCGCAACGAGCGCAACCCUUAUUACUAGUUGCCAGCAUUAAGUUGGGCACUCUAGUGAGACUGCCGGUGACAAACCGGAGGAAGGUGGGGACGACGUCAAAUCAUCAUGCCCCUUAUGACCUGGGCUACACACGUGCUACAAUGGAUGGUACAACGAGUCGCGAGACCGCGAGGUUAAGCUAAUCUCUUAAAACCAUUCUCAGUUCGGACUGUAGGCUGCAACUCGCCUACACGAAGUCGGAAUCGCUAGUAAUCGCGGAUCAGCAUGCCGCGGUGAAUACGUUCCCGGGCCUUGUACACACCGCCCGUCACACCAUGAGAGUUUGUAACACCCAAAGCCGGUGGGGUAACCUUU
rnacentral:rRNA from 1 species